GCCUGUUUCUUUCUCAGUGGUGUACUCAGAAAAUGGAUGCAAGAGUAGAAGCUGAUCCUCGAGGCUUGCAAAAGUGGGGUUCUUUCUGAAAGUGAAGCCAGCAGCCAAGAGCCACCCUUCAGAAGAUAGAAGGAAGAGCAGCUGCAUGAGUGAUGGCCACAGCAAUGCAUGGGUCCUGUCUGUCCACGUAGUCCUCUCCAUCUGCCCGUAGCUUGCCAGGAAACUUUCUAUAAUAAUACCAAUACAACCAAA
rnacentral:lncRNA from 1 species